GACGAACGCUGGCGGCGUGCUUAACACAUGCAAGUUGAACGAAGAGCGACGGAAGCUUGCUUCUAUCAAUCUUAGUGGCGAACGGGUGAGUAACGCGUAAUCAACCUGCCCUUCAGAGGGGGACAACAGUUGGAAACGACUGCUAAUACCGCAUACGAUCUAACCUCGGCAUCGAGGAUAGAUGAAAGGUGGCCUCUACAUGUAAGCUAUCACUGAAGGAGGGGAUUGCGUCUGAUUAGCUAGUUGGAGGGGUAACGGCCCACCAAGGCGAUGAUCAGUAGCCGGUCUGAGAGGAUGAACGGCCACAUUGGGACUGAGACACGGCCCAGACUCCUACGGGAGGCAGCAGUGGGGAAUCUUCCGCAAUGGACGAAAGUCUGACGGAGCAACGCCGCGUGAGUGAUGACGGCCUUCGGGUUGUAAAGCUCUGUUAAUCGGGACGAAAGGCCUUUUUGCGAAUAGUGAGAAGGAUUGACGGUACCGGAAUAGAAAGCCACGGCUAACUACGUGCCAGCAGCCGCGGUAAUACGUAGGUGGCAAGCGUUGUCCGGAAUUAUUGGGCGUAAAGCGCGCGCAGGCGGAUCGGUCAGUCUGUCUUAAAAGUUCGGGGCUUAACCCCGUGAUGGGAUGGAAACUGCCAAUCUAGAGUAUCGGAGAGGAAAGUGGAAUUCCUAGUGUAGCGGUGAAAUGCGUAGAUAUUAGGAAGAACACCAGUGGCGAAGGCGACUUUCUGGACGAAAACUGACGCUGAGGCGCGAAAGCCAGGGGAGCGAACGGG
rnacentral:rRNA from 1 species